GGUUAAGCGACUAAGCGUACACGGUGGAUGCCCUGGCAGUCAGAGGCGAUGAAGGACGUGCUAAUCUGCGAAAAGCGUCGGUAAGGUGAUAUGAACCGUUAUAACCGGCGAUGUCCGAAUGGGGAAACCCAGUGCAAUUCGUUGCACUAUCGUUAACUGAAUACAUAGGUUAACGAGGCGAACCGGGGGAACUGAAACAUCUAAGUACCCCGAGGAAAAGAAAUCAACCGAGAUUCCCCCAGUAGCGGCGAGCGAACGGGGAGCAGCCCAGAGUCUGAAUCAGCUUGUGUGUUAGUGGAACGGUCUGGAAAGUCCGACGGUACAGGGUGAUAGUCCCGUACACCAAAAUGCACAGGUUGUGAACUCGAAGAGUAGGGCGGGACACGUGGUAUCCUGUCUGAAUAUGGGGGGACCAUCCUCCAAGGCUAAAUACUCCUGACUGACCGAUAGUGAACCAGUACCGUGAGGGAAAGGCGAAAAGAACCCCGGCGAGGGGAGUGAAAAAGAACCUGAAACCGUGUACGUACAAGCAGUGGGAGCACCUUCGGGUGUGACUGCGUACCUUUUGUAUAAUGGGUCAGCGACUUAUAUUCUGUAGCAAGGUUAACCGUAUAGGGGAGCCGCAGGGAAACCGAGUCUUAACUGGGCGUUAAGUUGCAGGGUAUAGACCCGAAACCCGGUGAUCUAGCCAUGGGCAGGUUGAAGGUUGGGUAACACUAACUGGAGGACCGAACCGACUAAUGUUGAAAAAUUAGCGGAUGACUUGUGGCUGGGGGUGAAAGGCCAAUCAAACCGGGAGAUAGCUGGUUCUCCCCGAAAGCUAUUUAGGUAGCGCCUCGUGAAUUCAUCUUCGGGGGUAGAGCACUGUUUCGGCUAGGGGGUCAUCCCGACUUACCAACCCGAUGCAAACUACGAAUACCGAAGAAUGUUAUCACGGGAGACACACGGCGGGUGCUAACGUCCGUCGUGAAGAGGGAAACAACCCAGACCGCCAGCUAAGGUCCCAAAGUCAUGGUUAAGUGGGAAACGAUGUGGGAAGGCACAGACAGCCAGGAUGUUGGCUUAGAAGCAGCCAUCAUUUAAAGAAAGCGUAAUAGCUCACUGGUCGAGUCGGCCUGCGCGGAAGAUGUAACGGGGCUAAACCAUGCACCGAAGCUGCGGCAGCGACACUAUGUGUUGUUGGGUAGGGGAGCGUUCUGUAAGCCUGCGAAGGUGACCUGUGAGGGUUGCUGGAGGUAUCAGAAGUGCGAAUGCUGACAUAAGUAACGAUAAAGCGGGUGAAAAGCCCGCUCGCCGGAAGACCAAGGGUUCCUGUCCAACGUUAAUCGGGGCAGGGUGAGUCGACCCCUAAGGCGAGGCCGAAAGGCGUAGUCGAUGGGAAACAGGUUAAUAUUCCUGUACUUGGUGUUACUGCGAAGGGGGGACGGAGAAGGCUAUGUUAGCCGGGCGACGGUUGUCCCGGUUUAAGCAUGUAGGCUGGUUGUCCAGGCAAAUCCGGAUAAUCAAGGCUGAGGUGUGAUGACGAGGCACUACGGUGCUGAAGUAACAAAUGCCCUGCUUCCAGGAAAAGCCUCUAAGCAUCAGGUAACAUCAAAUCGUACCCCAAACCGACACAGGUGGUCAGGUAGAGAAUACCAAGGCGCUUGAGAGAACUCGGGUGAAGGAACUAGGCAAAAUGGUGCCGUAACUUCGGGAGAAGGCACGCUGGUGUGUAGGUGAAGCCCCUGCGGGUGGAGCUGAGACCAGUCGAAGAUACCAGCUGGCUGCAACUGUUUAUUAAAAACACAGCACUGUGCAAACACGAAAGUGGACGUAUACGGUGUGACGCCUGCCCGGUGCCGGAAGGUUAAUUGAUGGGGUUAUCCGUAAGGAGAAGCUCUUGAUCGAAGCCCCGGUAAACGGCGGCCGUAACUAUAACGGUCCUAAGGUAGCGAAAUUCCUUGUCGGGUAAGUUCCGACCUGCACGAAUGGCGUAAUGAUGGCCAGGCUGUCUCCACCCGAGACUCAGUGAAAUUGAACUCGCUGUGAAGAUGCAGUGUACCCGCGGCAAGACGGAAAGACCCCGUGAACCUUUACUAUAGCUUGACACUGAACAUUGAGCCUUGAUGUGUAGGAUAGGUGGGAGGCUUUGAAGCGUGGACGCCAGUCUGCGUGGAGCCAACCUUGAAAUACCACCCUUUAAUGUUUGAUGUUCUAACGUUGGCCCCUUACCGGGGUUGCGGACAGUGUCUGGUGGGUAGUUUGACUGGGGCGGUCUCCUCCCAAAGCGUAACGGAGGAGCACGAAGGUUAGCUAAUCCUGGUCGGACAUCAGGAGGUUAGUGCAAUGGCAUAAGCUAGCUUGACUGCGAGCGUGACGGCGCGAGCAGGUGCGAAAGCAGGUCAUAGUGAUCCGGUGGUUCUGAAUGGAAGGGCCAUCGCUCAACGGAUAAAAGGUACUCCGGGGAUAACAGGCUGAUACCGCCCAAGAGUUCAUAUCGACGGCGGUGUUUGGCACCUCGAUGUCGGCUCAUCACAUCCUGGGGCUGAAGUAGGUCCCAAGGGUAUGGCUGUUCGCCAUUUAAAGUGGUACGCGAGCUGGGUUUAGAACGUCGUGAGACAGUUCGGUCCCUAUCUGCCGUGGGCGCUGGAGAAUUGAGGGGGGCUGCUCCUAGUACGAGAGGACCGGAGUGGACGCAUCACUGGUGUUCGGGUUGUCAUGCCAAUGGCACUGCCCGGUAGCUAAAUGCGGAAGAGAUAAGUGCUGAAAGCAUCUAAGCACGAAACUUGCCCCGAGAUGAGUUCUCCCUGAGACUUUAAGUCUCCUGAAGGAACGUUGAAGACGACGACGUUGAUAGGCCGGGUGUGUAAGCGCAGCGAUGCGUUGAGCUAACCGGUACUAAUGAACCGUGAGGCUUAACCUU
rnacentral:rRNA from 1 species